UAACAGGGAGCUUGCUCUGCUGACGACCGGCGCACGGGUGCGUAACGCGUAUACAAUCUGCCUUGUACUGAGGGAUAGCCCAGAGAAAUUUGGAUUAAUACCUCAUAGUAUGUUUACUUCGCAUGGAGUUUGCAUUAAAGGUUACGGUACAAGAUGAGUAUGCGUCCUAUUAGCUAGAUGGAGUGGUAACGGCACCCCAUGGCAACGAUAGGUAGGGGGCCUGAGAGGGUUAUCCCCCACACUGGUACUGAGACACGGACCAGACUCCUACGGGAGGCAGCAGUGAGGAAUAUUGGACAAUGGGCGAAAGCCUGAUCCAGCCAUGCCGCGUGCAGGAAGACUGCCCUAUGGGUUGUAAACUGCUUUUAUACGGGAAGAAACCACUCUACGUGUAGAGUUCUGACGGUACCGUAAGAAUAAGGAUCGGCUAACUCCGUGCCAGCAGCCGCGGUAAUACGGAGGAUCCAAGCGUUAUCCGGAAUCAUUGGGUUUAAAGGGUCCGUAGGUGGAUGAUUAAGUCAGAGGUGAAAUCCUGCAGCUCAACUGUAGAAUUGCCUUUGAUACUGGUUAUCUUGAAUCAUUAUGAAGUGGUUAGAAUAUGUAGUGUAGCGGUGAAAUGC
rnacentral:rRNA from 1 species